rnacentral:tRNA from 1 species
UCACCAUCGGACAAAACGAGGGUACUAAGCAUCCUUAGCUCAGUUGGAUAGAGCAGUAGCCUUCUAAGCUAUUGGUC